rnacentral:rRNA from 1 species
CAGACGGGAGGCAGCAGGGGGGAAGAGGGGGCAAGGGGCGCAAGCCUGACCCAGCAACGCCGCGUGAAGGAAGAAGGCUUUCGGGUUGUAAACUUCUUUUCUGAGGGACGAAGAAAGUGACGGUACCUCAGGAAUAAGCCACGGCUAACUACGUGCCAGCAGCCGCGGUAAUACGUAGGUGGCAAGCGUUAUCCGGAUUUAUUGGGUGUAAAGGGCGUGUAGGCGGGAAAGCAAGUCAGAUGUGAAAACUCAGGGCUCAACCCUGAGCCUGCAUUUGAAACUGUUUUUCUUGAGUGCUGGAGAGGCAAUCGGAAUGCCGUGUGUAGCGGUGAAAUGCGUAGAUAUACGGAGGAACACCAGUGGCGAAGGCGGAUUGCUGGACAGUAACUGACGCUGAGGCGCGAAAGCGUGGGGAGCAAACAGGAUUAGAUACCCUUGUAGUC